UGGGGAAUAUUGGACAAUGGGCGAAAGCCUGAUCCAGCCAUGCCGCGUGUGUGAAGAAGGUCUUCGGAUUGUAAAGCACUUUAAGUUGGGAGGAAGGGCAGUAAGCGAAUACCUUGCUGUUUUGACGUUACCGACAGAAUAAGCACCGGCUAACUCUGUGCCAGCAGCCGCGGUAAUACAGAGGGUGCAAGCGUUAAUCGGAAUUACUGGGCGUAAAGCGCGCGUAGGUGGUUCGUUAAGUUGAAUGUGAAAGCCCCGGGCUCAACCUGGGAACUGCAUCCAAAACUGGCGAGCUAGAGUAGGGCAGAGGGUGGUGGAAUGUCCUGUGUAGCGGUGAAAUGCGUAGAUAUAGGAAGGAACACCAGUGGAGAAGGCGACCACCUGGGCUCAUACUGACACUGAGGUGCGAAAGCGUGGGGAGCAAACAGG
rnacentral:rRNA from 1 species